GGAAGGAGGGGGACCUCAUGCAGCAGCGUGCUGUGAAUGGCUUGCAGAGGAAAUGAAAAAAAUUAGGGGCCUGGUCCAAAGCCCACUGAAGUGAAUGCCUCUGCCCCGUGCUGCAUCCCAUUUCCUGAAGAAUGAGAUAUCUGUAGAAUGGAGACAUCUUGUCGCAGCCAUUGAUUUGAAGACAAAGACCUGAAACUGUACAUUGUUUUCAGAAACAUCCCUCUCCAUAUCAGCUCUCAACGAUUGAAGUUAAAGAAAACAAAGGUGCAGUUAGGAACUGGGACCCUUUGUUGAUUGAUUACCUGCACUGAGUACCUGCUUAACAUGGAUUUUACACUCUAACAUACCCUGGGCUUCUGAGAGGAAGGUGAAGAAAACCCCAUCUGACCCAGGCAAAGUUAGGAGUGAGGAGAAAAUUCCUUCUGAGUCCCAAAAAGCUGUUCUGAUUCUCUCACUAGAAACCCAGUACCAUGUGACCAAUCAGCUCUCCACAGGCCACCAGCAAUCCAUGGAUUACAGUUUUAAAACCACUGCUGUACUAAAGGAGACAUCAAGAUGUUAAUCUGAGUAUUAUGGGAUGGAGCCUUAUUCCAUCCCCUUCGUUCCUGAUAAGUCAGUAGGAGUUUUCUUCCCCACUCUGUUGUUUUGGAGUUCAGUAAAGAAGCAAGUUCCCAGCCUGCAGUCCUAUAUUAUGACCUCUCUGCUUUGAAGACUUAACUCAUUCACUGUAUAGUACUGCUGUUUCUAUAAUAUUCAUGAUUAUGGAAAGCAGUUGAACUUAUCUGCAAAUGUUGGUGGAGAAAAAUCAAACAUAAUUCAUACAGUGUAAUUUGUCAAUAUUCUAGUUAAUCAAAUUUAAUCUGCUGAGACAGAUUAAUGUUUAUUAAUUCCAUACUGGUAUUUGGAUAAAAGAGAAAAUAUAUCAUCUCACACUUUGGAGAAUUUUUUUGUUUACUUCUUCUGAUGAAUAUUGUUUAAAACAUCAUAAAGUAGUUCAGUUUACCACAUUGGAUUGGAUCCACCUACCGGAGAAGACAGUGGAAAAUUCCCACUUCAAUAACAUUUAU